UUUUAUUUUGGGGUUUUUUUUCUUUCUUUCUUAUGGAUUUGGAAUGAUGGGUCUUUUUUGUUCUGUAUCUGCAUGUGUCAUUCUGUUCAUUAUUUGAUUUGUUGGAGAUUUACAGUUUCGAAGAAAUCAGCUUGCCAUGUUCGAUGGAUGAUAUUAAUUGUCUAGUUUAUGAUAUUGAUUAAUUGAUUUGGUUUCUUUUCGAUGGGGUAUUGUGCCGAUUUUUAGCCCAUCCUGUAUUUUACUUGAUUUUGGCCAGAAUCCUUGUUCUUGGAAGAACUUGUGUAAGACCACUUGAUGUCUUUUUUUCUAUUGGUAUUUUCAUCCAAAAUUGGUUGAAAAAUCAUUUUGCUUAAUAAAUUUAUAGAUUUGU